rnacentral:rRNA from 1 species
UACGAGGGGUGCAAGCGUUGUUCGGAAUUAUUGGGCGUAAAGGGCGCGUAGGCGGUGCGGUAAGUCACCUGUGAAAUCUCCCGGCUUAACUGGGAGCCUGCAGGCGAAACUGCCGUGCUUGAGUAUGGGAGAGGUGCGUGGAAUUCCCGGUGUAGCGGUGAAAUGCGUAGAUAUCGGGAGGAACGCCUGUGGCGAAAGCGGCGCACUGGACCAUAACUGACGCUGAGGCGCGAAAGCUAGGGGAGCAAACAGG